rnacentral:siRNA from 1 species
UGAAUAACUGGUCGAGUAGCUGC